GGAUCUUCACCCGUUUCAGUCUCCCAGCGUCACGCGAUUCAUCCCAAGACUGCGCAGCCCGGACAAUCCUCUCAACGUAAUCAGAGGGGGGUGGAUGACCUAUUUAAGAGUGGAGGAAUAAGGAAGAGGGAGAGCUCGGUUGGGGGGCCAAGUGACAGAGGAAAGAACAGAGCCAUGCUCUGUUCUUGAAGGAAAAGAAUAAAAAGAAGAAGAAGAAGAAG
rnacentral:lncRNA from 1 species